UUCCACCAACAAGGAAGUUUCAGGUGAGGGUUUAGGAAAGGAUCCCAAAGUUGAUUCUGACCUGCAUUCAGGUUAACGGGCCCUGCCUAAGGGAGCAAUUCAAGGAGCCACGUGAGUUUCCUGCUCUGGGGAGGAAAAAGUUAUUAUUUAUGAACCAGAUGGUGGAGCUGGGCCCAGGUCCUUUCUUCAGUUAGUGGCUGGAUUUAAUCCUCAUGACAAUCCUGGUAGUGAGGUAUCGCGAUCCUCUCUUCAUGGAUGUAUGUCAGUACAAAGCAUGUGCUCCUGAACACAGACACAGACAGCAAAGAGGUUGCUCCCCAUACCCACUGCCAGAGCCAGGGAUGGAAACUGGCAUCCUGGGCACCUUUAGUUGCUGGUUGCAGAGCUUUAGAAAGAUAUCAGGACACAUACUGCUGAGGGGUUCAAUGGACAAGGGCUCCUCUGAAGUUAUUUGCAAGAAGUAAGGGAACAUGACAGCACAUGGAACAAGAGAAAACCAGGCCCACUGAGGCUGGAAGGAAAAGAGGCCAACGCCCCAAGUCAGGAAGUGACUGCACCGUCCCCACUGGACCGUAGGAAGGCACUAGAUGUUUCCUGCGUCACGCAUGGCCUUCCACGUUUGGAAACAAUUUUGGGCAACUUAACUCCAGGAGAUGCAGCCUCUUUAAGAUGAAAGACUCUCAAACUCAAUUGUCAUCUGCAGCCCUCAGAAGAAAAGAACAAAGAACACGCUGAAAGGGGAGACGGUCAUGUAGUUCACUAACAUCACCUUUUGGUACCGAACAGCUGGCUUUGGCUUUUGUUCACAAAACCAUGGACCAUUUGACGUAACAGCAGAGAACAUAAAGAAACAGCAAGUUUAUGUGUCUGCCUCUGCGUAUUUUUGUCAUUAUCUACCUAAAAGUUUCUCAGUUUGUUUAUGUGUUGUAAGUAACUUUUUCCGUAAAUACUCUUUACUGUAUGACGGGGAAUGUGGUAAGUGCUCUUCUUGCAUCAUCUAAUCCUCACCACAAGCCUAUGAGGUAGGUACCAUUUUUAUGCCUGCUUUACCCAAGAGGAAAUGGAGGCUGGGGGGUUUGUCCAGAGCACCAGCUAAUUUUAAGUGGCAAGGACGGGACUCAUACCAAGACCAUAUGACCUCCAGAAAUACACUCCCAACCUCUAGGAUAUUCUCUGGUGGACAGAGAAUGUGACAGUCUUCUGUAGUCCUAGCCAUAUGACUUGGAGACAUGGGAUAAUUUCUCCUGGCUACCCCAACUUUCCCUUAGCUUAACAUGAACUCCUUUGGGGCUGUAGCCUGGUGCACACUCAACACAAUCAAGCCUCUUAGCAUUUCAUAAGUAACCUCAUGACAUUUGUAUAGAGCAGAGGAAUCCUUUACACAUCAGCAAAUAAUGUUUUAUAUUUUAUUUGUUUUAUUUUAUUUUUUAAGAUGUUCUUUGGAACACAUUCCUUUGCAAAUUCUUAUGGGAGUUAUUGCAACGACGUGGAUGGAACUAGAGGGCACAAUGCUAAGCGAAAUAAGUCAAUCAGAGAAAGACAAUUAUCAUAUGAUCUCACUGAUAUGCGGAAUUUAAGAAGCAAGGCAA